rnacentral:sRNA from 1 species
GCGGAAAAGUAAGGUGUUGUGCCAGAGAGCAGUACCUUAUGAGCUUUAUAAGGGUUUUACAUUUACCACAAUCUGGCUAGAGGUUAACCCUCGAAAGAAAAUGUUAG